AACGUGAGCCAUUAGAAAGGGAUGGACGUUACAAUGAAAUGAUCAUUCAACGAUAUAUUGUAUUUCAAAGGCCAGACAUGCACAAUGUCCGGCAAAAUGACUUGAUAGAGCACCAGUGGGCAUUGAAACAAGCUGAAGAUAAUUAAGUUCAUUUAGUGUGUUUUUUAUUAUUUGGUAUGUUUAUGUAAUUUUAUUUGGUGUGUUAUUUUAGUUCAUUUAGUGAGGUUUUUAUUAUUUGGUGUGUUUAUGUAAUUUUAUUUGGUGUGUUUUAUUUUAGUGAGUUUUUUUAUUAUUUGGUGUGUUUAUGUAAUUUUAUUUGGUGCAUUUUAUUUUAGUUCAUUUCAUGAGUUUUUUAUUUGGUGUGUUUAUGUCAUUUGAAUAAAGAUUCUCUUAUGGUAUAAAUAUAUUACCAUAUUAAAUAAAUUUACUCUCACUUUAAAUAAAUUACUAAAUUCAAUAAAUUGGAAACAACAUAAAAUACUCAAUUCAAUAAAUAAUAAAUUACAACCCAAGGUGAUUGGAAAACUAGGGGCUCCGAUUACAAAAAGUACUCUAAUCAUCAUCACUUAACCAAUUUGUGGUGCUAGGAUGAUCUCCUCUUGUCGUGCUAGGACCAUCUCUUCUUGCUCUCGCUUCUCUUGCACGCCUCCUACGCACCACAUCCUCUUUCUCCGACUUCCAAAAAUAUUUAGAAUUUGGAGACUUCCCUUCUAAAGGCGUGUUCAUAAUCUCACGAUCUCAUUGAGCCAUUCUUUCUUCUCUAACCAGUUCCCUUUCUUGCCUAAGUAGCUCUCUUUCUCUCUGAUUAUCUUGAAAUUCUCUCUCAACAGUUGUAGCUUUUGCCUCCUCUCUAGCCUUAUCAGCCUCAAAUUUCGCCAUUUCCCGGGCCAAAGUCAAUUCACUAUGGCGAGCAAGUUCUUCCAUGUACUUUGCAUAAUCAUGCUUGGAAGCACUUCGUUUUCUCUUUGAAGCCUUCUUACCUUGAGGCCUAAUUGGAUAACG
rnacentral:lncRNA from 1 species